rnacentral:rRNA from 1 species
UGGGGAAUAUUGGACAAUGGGCGCAAGCCUGAUCCAGCCAUGCCGCGUGAGUGAUGAAGGCCCUAGGGUUGUAAAGCUCUUUCACCGGUGAAGAUAAUGACGGUAACCGGAGAAGAAGCCCCGGCUAACUUCGUGCCAGCAGCCGCGGUAAUACGAAGGGGGCUAGCGUUGUUCGGAAUUACUGGGCGUAAAGCGCACGUAGGCGGAUCGAUCAGUUAGGGGUGAAAUCCCGGGGCUCAACCUGGGAAUUGCUCUUGAUACUGGCAGGCUUGAGUGUGGGAGAGGUUGAUGGAAUUCCAGGUGUAGCAGUGAAAUGCGUAGAUAUCUGGAAGAACACCAGUGGCGAAGGCGGUCAACUGGCCCAUAACUGACGCUCAUGCACGAAAGCGUGGGGAGCAAACA